AGUGAACGCUGGCGGUGGGCCUAACACAUGCCAGUCGAACGGCAGCACAGUAAGAGCUUGCUCUUACGGGUGGCGAGUGGCGGACGGGUGAGGAAUACAUCGGAAUCUACUUUUUCGUGGGGGAUAACGUAGGGAAACUUACGCUAAUACCGCAUACGACCUACGGGUAAAAGCAGGGGAUCUUCGGACCUUGCGCGAUUGAAUGAGCCGAUGUCGGAUUAGCUAGUUGGCGGGGUAAAGGCCCACCAAGGCGACGAUCCGUAGCUGGUCUGAGAGGAUGAUCAGCCACACUGGAACUGAGACACGGGCCAGACUCCUACGGGAGGCAGCAGUGGGGAAAAUUGGACAAUGGGCGGAAGCCUGAUCCAGCCAUACCGCGUGGGUGAAGAAGGCCUUCGGGUUGUAAAGCCCUUUUGUUGGGAAAGAAAAGCAGCAGGUUAAUACCCCGCUGUUCUGACGGUACCCAAAGAAUAAGCACCGGCUAACUUCGUG
rnacentral:rRNA from 1 species